rnacentral:rRNA from 1 species
UACGUAGGGUGCAAGCGUUGUCCGGAAUUAUUGGGCGUAAAGAGCUCGUAGGCGGUUUGUCGCGUCUGCUGUGAAAAACGCGAGGCUCAACCUCGCGCCUGCAGUGGGUACGGGGCAGACUGGAGUGCGGUAGGGGGAGAUUGGAAUUCCUGGUGUAGCGGUGGAAUGCGCAGAUAUCAGGAGGAACACCGAUGGCGAAGGCAGAUCUCUGG